rnacentral:rRNA from 1 species
ACGCUCGACACCUACGGCAGGCAGCAGUGGGGAAUAUUGGGCAAUGGAGGCAACUCUGACCCAGCAACGCCGCGUGAGUGAUGAAGGUCUUCGGAUUGUAAAACUCUUUAAGUAGGGACGAAGAAAGUGACGGUACCUACAGAAUAAGCCUCGGCUAACUACGUGCCAGCAGCCGCGGUAAUCUGAGCGGGCUGGCAAGGC